rnacentral:lncRNA from 1 species
AACCCAUUAUUAUACCUGUUCUAAUAAACUACGUUUUGUACUAUAAUAAUAUAGCUAAAAAUAUCUUAUUAAUAACCACCCAUCACUGGUAAAAAGCAAACUUUCAAUCUUGGCUAUUAGUCCCACUUGAAAUUUGAUCUAGGACUAAUAAAGGAUUUAGUCCCGGUUAAAAUUACCAAUCGAGACUAAAAUCCUCUGCCUGC